CCUUCAAGAGCUUGAACCAACUCAACCCACCAUAGAGGAGAGUACCGAAAUCCUCCCUAUCCAUGUAUUACCCAUAGGAAAGAACCCCCUAGUUUCAUCAAAGCAGAACCCAUUCACCGAAACAUCUUUCAAAAAAAAAAUCAAAACGUCAAACCACCAUCGACUCCGUCUCAUCACCAUUGCUGCCCGAGAAGGAAGAGAAGAGAGAAGAUGGCCAUACCUCACUCAUCACCUUCGCCCAAACGGCCAUCCCCCACGCUUGAACCGCGAAUCACCAUUGUGGGAAGCUUAAAAAACGAACUGUGAAUCAUCCUUGAGCUUGAUCCUUUGCUAGAGAAAAAGGGAGAUGAAAUUAGGGGUUUGUUUCCCUUUUCUUUAGAUGGCACGAAGAUAUGGGGUUAUUACCUUGUUUCACAAAACUUCACUUUUG
rnacentral:lncRNA from 1 species